CACUGUGUUCAAGACAACUGCAAUGGUUGAUGAAGUGCUUUGUACACUCGAAGGAAGUGCUUUGUACACUCGAAGGAAAUGCUUUGGAGCUGGAAUUGCUGUUUCUAAAGGUCUUCCUGGGUUAAGACAGAGGAUGCUUAACAACAUUCAGUGAGACUUGGUUCUUUAUUAGGGUGGUUUGGGGUACAACCUAAAACAUGAAUAUGUCUGUACCAUGGGUUAACCACUUCUCUCAUUCUCAUUUGUUUGUAUCACAUCAGCAGUGCAGUGGUGAUAAACUUUAAAAUGGAUGAGCCCAUCAUGACAGUGCAUGAAUGAGGGUGCAAAGAGCAUCAAUAUAAAGCACAACAGUAUGCUCCGUAAAUCAGGAACAGUGUGUCUGCAAUCCUCUGCUCAAUGUCUUGGAGGGCCCAACAGGGAGGAAGAUACAACGAGAAUGACUAAGUCCCAGACUGAGCAGGACCUCUUCACAGAGCAGGGACAAACACAACUGACACAUGGCCACAACACAAACCAGGGCUUUCUGGAGAGUCCUCUCUGUUUAAACUUUUAGGAUGACAAACACAUUGUUGUUUCUCUACCACUGCCCCCUCUCUGUCUCCUUUUCCCAUCUCUCUCCAUUUCUUUCUGAACAUUAACAGCAGACCUCAAGAAAUUGAUAUUAUUUAUUGCCAUCAAGAAACAAAGUCCUGCCACCAGUUUGAUUGGUGUUUGAAGGCAAUGAGAGUGGUAGUAUCAAAAUAUGAAGAGAUGUAGUCCAUUCCACCUACAAACCCAUUCCAUAAAUAACUGGCAACAAUGGAAAUAUUAAGAAAAAUUCACAGGUAAAAACCUUUGUUAAGCAUUAAUAGGCAGCAUUGUCUCUGGGAAACAGAUAUGUGGCUCUGAGGAUCAGAUCUGGGACUCAGGCACCAUAGAAAGACCUGUUUAUCACAGCCUCUAUGCUUCUGGGAAAGCAUAAAAUGCAGUUUUUGAAACAUGAGUAUAAAUAGGGCUUUAAAAUUUUGUUUUGUUUUUGCCACUGCAAUAAAUGGAAAUAUUCUGACUUUGGAUUGUGUUUA
rnacentral:lncRNA from 1 species